rnacentral:rRNA from 1 species
AUGGGCGACAGACAUAUGCAACCUAAUGUCCUAGAGCAAAUACUCGAUGGAAGCAUGAAGCCUAUGGAUCUACGUUUAGCUCUUCUAGAGAACAUCACGGACAAUUUCUCUGUAGAGCGAAAAAUUUGUGCCGGUGGAUUUGGGACUGUUUACAAGGGUGUUCUACGAAACGGGAAUGUUGCUGUGAAGAUGAUGAACAGCCACUCAAUCGAUGAGAAGCCAUUUCGUCGUGAGGUCAAUAGUCUCAUGAAAGUUAACCAUAUAAAUACAGUUCGGUUCCUUGGCUUCUGUUCUAACACAGAGCAUAAAGCUAUACAAAUUAGCGGAUCGGAAGAAUAUAUUUUUGCCGAGAUAAGACAGCGAUUGCUCUGUUUUGAGUAUAUCAGCAAUGGAGGCCUUGAUAAACAUAUUACGGAUGAAUUGAGGGGACUUGAAUGGAGCACAAGGUUUGACAUAAUUAAAGGAAUCUGUGAGGGCUUGCAACACCUUCACAAGGAAAAUGGCAUAAUUCAUAUGGACCUCAAGCCAACCAAUAUACUACUAGAUGAUCAAAUGGUACCAAAAAUCACUGAUUUUGGCCUUUCGAGACUCGAAGAAAACUCAUAA